UGGGGAAUAUUGCACAAUGGACGAAAGUCUGAUGCAGCAACACCGCGUGAAGGAUGAAGGUUUUCGGAUUGUAAACUUCUAUCGAGUGGGACGAAUAAUGACGGUACCACAGUAAGAAGCCCCGGCUAACUACGUGCCAGCAGCCGCGGUAAUACGUAGGGGGCAAGCGUUAUCCGGAAUUACUGGGUGUAAAGGGUGAGUAGGCGGUAUGGUAAGUCAUAUGUGAAAAGCUACAGCUCAACUGUAGUCGUGCAUAAGAAACUACCAAACUUGAGUACAGGAGAGGUCAGUAGAAUUCCUAGUGUAGCGGUGAAAUGCGUAGAUAUUAGGAGGAAUACCGGUGGCGAAGGCGACUGACUGGACUGAAACUGACGCUGAUUCACGAAAGCGUGGGGAGCAAACA
rnacentral:rRNA from 1 species